rnacentral:rRNA from 1 species
CCCGUCGCUACUACCGAUUGAAUGGCUUAGUGAGGCUUCCGGAUUGGUUUAGAGAAGGGGGCAACUCCAUCUUGGAACCGAGAAGCUAGUCAAACUUGGUCAUUUAGAGGAAGUAAAAGUCGUAACAAGGUUUCCGUAGGUGAACCUGCGGAAGGAUCAUUACAGAAUGAAAGUGCUUAACUGCAUUUUUUUACACAUGUGUUUUUCUUUUUUUUUGAAACUUUGCUUUGGUGGGCCCAUGGCCUGCCAAAGAUUAAACUCAACCAAAUUUUUAUUUAAGUCAACUGAUUAACUAAUAGUCAAAACUUUCAACAACGGAUCUCUUGGUUCUCGCAUCGAUGAAGAACGCAGCGAAAUGCGAUAAGUAAUAUGAAUUGCAGAUAUUCGUGAAUCAUCGAAUCUUUGAACGCACAUUGCGCCCUUUGGUAUUCCAAAGGGCAUGCCUGUUUGAGCGUCAUUUCUCCCUCAAACCUUCGGGUUUGGUGUUGAGCGAUACGCUGGGUUUGCUUGAAAGAAAGGCGGAGUAUAAACUAAUGGAUAGGUUUUUUUUCCACUCAUUGGUACAAACUCCAAAAUUCUUCCAAAUUCGACCUCAAAUCAGGUAGGACUACCCGCUGAACUUAAGCAUAUCAAUAAGCGGAGGAAAAGAAACCAACAGGGAUUGCCUUAGUAGCGGCGAGUGAAGCGGCAAAAGCUCAAAUUUGAAAUCUGGCA